GACGAACGCUGGCGGCGUGCUUAACACAUGCAAGUCGAACGGUAAGGCCCUUCGGGGUACACGAGUGGCAAACGGGUGAGUAACACGUGGGUGAUCUACCCUGCACUUCGGGAUAAGCCUGGGAAACUGGGUCUAAUACCGGAUAGGACCACUGCCUGCAUGGGUGGUGGUGGAAAGCUUUUGCGGUGUGGGAUGGGCCCGCGGCCUAUCAGCUUGUUGGUGGGGUGAUGGCCAACCAAGGCGACGACGGGUAGCCGGCCUGAGAGGGUGACCGGCCACACUGGGACUGAGAUACGGCCCAGACUCCUACGGGAGGCAGCAGUGGGGAAUAUUGCACAAUGGGCGCAAGCCUGAUGCAGCGACGCCGCGUGAGGGAUGACGGCCUUCGGGUUGUAAACCUCUUUCAGCACCGACGAAGCGCAAGUGACGGUAGGUGCAGAAGAAGGACCGGCCAACUACGUGCCAGCCGCCGCCGUAA
rnacentral:rRNA from 1 species